GAUCAGAUGCUCUCUGUCUGCUUCUUGAAUCAUGUUUACGAAUGUUGCCCUUCCACAAGUGGAGAACAGCAGUGCCCUUAUGACGUUGCUACUUCAGGCCUGCCGGCAAGACUUCGGUUCCUCGGCCUCCUGCCCCAUCUUUUAUGGAUCUCAGGAACUGCCUGUGAGGCAGAGCACCCUGGAAAACAGAGGAGCAGCAGUAUACAUCACCAGAGGCUGCAGGAGAAUACUGGAAGCAGAGGAUGGGAUCUGCCGCCUGUACCAUGCAGCAAUCAGAGCUAUCCCUACUUGUUCUUUUGAGAUAAAACACACUUUUUAAUGCUUAGAUUUUAAUUACCUUUCUACUCAAUGUACAGGCUUGUAGAGGAGCCCACCCUGUUUUGUAUUUUCUUUAAAGGAUCCAUAAGUUCAAUACAAUGAGACCUAGCUUAGUAAAGAUAAGGAAAGGUUUCCCCAGGGAUGCUGUGGCAUGAAAGAGGUUUCUGUCAUGAUAUGGUCAUUCUAACAAAGCAGAGCAAUACAUGAGGGUUUCUCACCUUUAACUUGUUGGCAUUAUACAGCACAGACCUUCCACUAAUUGUUACAAAUUCAGAAUAAGAAAAAAUAAAUGAAAAACAGAAGUUGAAAUUGUGAGUUAAUGAGAGCAAAAUGUGGAGUGGGCUGCAGCAUUCUGUUUGUUAAAUACUGUUGUUCCUGGAUCAAAGAGAGUGAGGUAUCUAGCAAUUAUUUAAACCUGUUUUAAAACUUCCUUCAAGAAAAUUUACUAAGAGACCUCCUUCUCAUAUCACGAAUGGAUUUGUGGAAAGAUGUUUACCCCUCAGAAAGCCUCAUAGUUUGGCUUAUUACAGAGACAAAAAUCAAUAACAUGCAAACUCUCACCAGUGUUUUUCUCUUUAGGAUGAUUUAAAGGUUAACAAACUGUUUCCUUAACAGUUUUGAGGCUGG
ensembl:lncRNA